rnacentral:lncRNA from 1 species
UUGUAAUAUUGUACUAUAUGCAUGUUAUUUUAGGCUUGGCUUAAAACCAAGGGGUUGAAGAAUGCUAGAAUAUACAAUUACAAAAUCAUUGUCAUUCGAAUAUAAGCCAAGCACUCAGGCACUGAGUGCAUGUGUAAGAUGAGUCUGUCUCAAAUGUCCUUGUGUCCAUUUGUGCUGAUGAUAUGCAAUCUGAGCAGCGUUUUAGAGUCUGUGAGCACUAAUCAAUAAGAAUGUGUUUAGAAAGUUAAAUAUUAAUGUUUAGAGGAACUACACUAUACUAGGAACUUUGUUAUCUUGUAUCAAAGAAUGGGGCAGUACUAAGGAGAAAGCUACUUUCUUUAAUUUAUGUUAUCCCACAGCUCAUGUCAGCAUUAUCAUUAUGCAAUUAUAUAACCUCAUUAUAAUUGCAUUACUAUAAUUAUCAUUGUGCUACUGAGAAGCCCAAAGAAUAUUUGUUUAUUAGUACAACUGACUGUGCUGUCCCAACAGAUACUAACAUUGCAGUCUAGUUUUACAUCAUAAUGUCUGUUUGAUAAGAGCCAUUUAACUAGACUGUCAUUGUUUAUCAGGAAAAUUACUUGCACAACUUUCACAACCCUGCUUCUUUAAAUAUGACUGGAGCCUAAAAACUAUAUUUUGUUCAAAUAUGGGCCUUACCUAAUAUGGUAUGUUCAGAGGGCAAAUGUUAAUGUUUUCUUGUAUUUUUCAGACACUAUAAUGGACAUAAAGCAGCCUGGCCCAAGAGCAUGAUCAACAUGGGCGAUUCCUCCAGUGCUGAUGCAGAGAAGAGCUCUGUUCUGCAGAUGCAUAGCCUGAGAGAGUUUGAACAGGAAAGGUUCGGAGUGUGUGAAGUUUUGUGAAAAACAUGCAUGAAGACACCAAAGAAUAAGAUCACAAUCCACCGAUAAGAAUAUAAGAAGACAUAUUAGUACUUCAUAACAAAAUGCUUGACAAAAAUGUAAAGUUGUCUUAGCUGUUGUUUAUGACCCACUUAAUUCGGAUCUGAGUUACUCAGAUUUAUCCGCAGCUUAAUUUUCAUAAAUCUUCAUAUUCACUUCUUUGAAAUGAAGAAAUCUCAUCUGAUGCUCCUCAAAACUGCUGUAGUUGAAACUAGGCUUUAAUAGUGUUUUUUAUGACUGGG